rnacentral:lncRNA from 1 species
GGGGGGAGCUGGGGGGAAGGGCUUGAGUCCACGGCACAGGCGCCCCAGCCUCUUCUUCCGGCGCACUUCUGGUGUGGGGUGCCCGAGUGGGCAGGGGAGCCCUGUCCCCCGGGGGUGGGAGAGCUGGGCGGCCACAUCUAGGCUGAGGGCUCAAGGGACAGCGCCCUACAGCUCAGGCCCCAGGUCCCCACCAGGGCUGGCGUCGCUGCCGGAGGAGAGGGGAGGUGUUGGCAGCCAGAACCAGGCUGCAGGGGGAGCUGCUUCAGACGCAGGGUCAGGGGGGAGGCAGAGCAGGGCUGACUUCCCGCCUGGGGUCUGUUGUCUUCAGGAGGUAACCUGAGACCUGGCUGAGCCCAAAAAAGCCACUGCCCUUUAGAGCCAGCUGAAUGGGAGCUGGCCAGGCCUGAGCGGGGGAGGGAGGAGGGUGGAGGCACGCAGCUGCCCGUCACCCCAGACCCUCCUGCCCCGCGCCGGGCACAGGUGAGAGCCAGACGCGGGGCUCCCAGGGACGCGGAACCAGCCCUCCUGGCCAUGGGAGGGGCCGUGGUCGACGAGGGCCCGACAGGCAUCAAGGCCCCGGACGGGGGCUGGGGCUGGGCCGUCCUCUGGGGCUGUUUCGUCAUCACGGGCUUCUCCUACGCCUUCCCCAAGGCGGUCAGCGUCUUCUUCAAGGAGCUCAUGCGUGAGUUCGGCAUCGGCUAAAGUGACACGGCCUGGGUCUCCUCCAUCCUGCUGGCCAUGCUGUACGGGACAGGUGAGGGGCCGUCGUGCCCGCGGGACGCUUCUGAGAGCUCACCAGGUUCGGUUCUGGGCAAAGAGGCCCGGGGAUCGGGGGUCACCUGGUGUUUGCAGCCCAGCCCCCGGGGUUGCCCAGAGGGAAGCCCUACCAGGGCUCCGUGGUCGCCCAGGCUGCCUGGGGCCCUGGCCAAAGGGCUGUGUCUGCCCAGCUGGGCUGGGUCCCGGCGCCAGUCCCCACAGACGCCUGGGUCCUGCCACCUGCGCAGCUCCACCGGAGGAGAGGCCUCUCAUGGGAGGCUCUCCUGGUGAGCCCCGCUUUGCCCGGCGCCAGUCCCCACAGACGCCUGGGUCCUGCCACCUGCGCAGCUCCACCGGAGGAGAGGCCUCUCAUGGGAGGCUCUCCUGGUGAGCCCCGCUUUGCCCGGACGGCGAGCUGGUGACCUGUGUCCGCUGAGCCGGAGGUGGGGCACGGGGAGGGCGGGCCUCGGC